rnacentral:rRNA from 1 species
AACGAACGCUGGCGGCAUGCCUAACACAUGCAAGUCGAACGAGACCUUCGGGUCUAGUGGCGCACGGGUGCGUAACGCGUGGGAAUCUGCCCUUGGGUCCGGAAUAACUCAGAGAAAUUUGAGCUAAUACCGGAUGAUGACGUAAGUCCAAAGAUUUAUCGCCCAGGGAUGAGCCCGCGUAGGAUUAGCUAGUUGGUGAGGUAAAGGCUCACCAAGGCGACGAUCCUUAGCGGUCUGAGAGGAUGAUCAGCCACACUGGGACUGAGACACGGCCCAGACUCCUACGGGAGGCAGCAGUGGGGAAUAUUGGACAAUGGGCGAAAGCCUGAUCCAGCAAUGCCGCGUGAGUGAUGAAGGCCUUAGGGUUGUAAAGCUCUUUUACCCGGGAUGAUAAUGACAGUACCGGGAGAAUAAGCCCCGGCUAACUCCGUGCCAGCAGCCGC